rnacentral:rRNA from 1 species
AUUGAACGCUGGCGGCAGGCCUAACACAUGCAAGUCGAACGGUAGCACAGAGAGCUUGCUCUCGGGUGACGAGUGGCGGACGGGUGAGUAAUGUCUGGGAAACUGCCCGAUGGAGGGGGAUAACUACUGGAAACGGUAGCUAAUACCGCAUAACGUCGCAAGACCAAAGUGGGGGACCUUCGGGCCUCACACCAUCGGAUGUGCCCAGAUGGGAUUAGCUAGUAGGUGGGGUAAUGGCUCACCUAGGCGACGAUCCCUAGCUGGUCUGAGAGGAUGACCAGCCACACUGGAACUGAGACACGGUCCAGACUCCUACAGGAGACAGCAGUGGGGAAUAUUGCACAAUGGGCGCAAGCCUGAUGCAGCCAUGCCGCGUGUAUGAAGAAGGCCUUCGGGUUGUAAAGUACUUUCAGCGGGGAGGAAGGCGGUGAAGUUAAUAACUUCACCGAUUGACGUUACCCGCAGAAGAAGCACCGGCUAACUCCGUGCCAGCCGCCGCGGUAA